UCCCACCUCUUCUCCGCUGCUCUCCUCUCUCUCAAAAGGUACGCUUAAUUCCACCUCCUCCUCUCUUUACUCAUUCUCUAUCCUAGAACAACAAUUCCAGCUCUUAGAAUAGUAAUCCCAUCUCCUUUUCUAUUUACUUAUUCCCUCUUUAAACCCAAUCCCCGCAGACAAAACCGUCGUCUCCCUCCGUCCCUCUUUCUCGAUCCAAGAACUAGGGUUUGAGAAUUGGAAAGAGGGAGAGACUCUCGAGCUCACGGACAUAGCGGUUGUUUGACUCUACGCUAGGGUUUUCUCCGCAAUCACGUAAAUCUUAAAAAAAAUUCCUUUUUAAGAUUUUUUUAAAUAUAGAAUUUUGAUUCAGGUGGUUUUCAUCUUCAAAACAGUUUCUUUAGGCCAAGAACAUUAUAAUGAGUUAUUUGCCAUGACUAAGUUUUCAAAAGUUCGGGGCUUUCCUUAUUUUGGAGUUUCUUUGGUCAGGUAUUCUGCUUCAAAGAGUUCAAAACUGGAGAAAAAAGAGUUUUUUUUUUUUUGUGGCUUCCUUAGAAGAACAGAGUUGUGAACAAUGCCGACGGCAAUCCUUCCAGCAACCGUUGCAAUCCCAAGGCUGGCCGAUAGGUCGAUGUCGUCCACUAGAUUUUUGUCCGGUACCGAGCAAUCCAGCUUCUGUUCCUUCCCUGUCAAGCCUGCCAGCCCCUUCUCGAGCCUCAUUAUUCGGAUGGGCGGUGGCCCGCGGACGUACCCAGGCGGUGUGUCCAAGUGGCAGUGGAAGCGGAUGCAGGCGAAGAAGGCAAAGCAGCUUCUGAAGGCCCGGCUAUGCCGUGAACGCCAGCUGUAUGAGAUGAGGAAGCGCGCAGAGCUUAAGGCUGCCAUCUCGGAGCUUGAGCGGCCAUGGGAGGUUGUGGAGAGGGCGCCUCAGCUCUUCUCAGUGAGCGCCGAUGAGCAGGUGAAGGCGUUGGCUGACCGGUUCCAGCGGGCUGGUGGAUUUGAUAUGUGGAAUGAGAAGGAUGGCCCCCAGAUAUUUCAGGCACCCGAUGGGUUACCAUCCGCAAGGUUAUUCCCGAAGGGAGUGGUUCACAGUGUGAAGCCUUAUGGGAUUGUCUCAGGCUCGAAGGAAUCAUUGGGAGAAGAUGGCUCAAAAGGUGGAGAGGAGCUAAGGUUUGAUGAUUGGGUUGCAAGAGGAGGGGGUGGUGUCAGUAGGAGGAGAUCGAGGAGGUCUUCUAAUCGUAAAGGUGGAGCUGGGACAGAGACUAUUGAUGUUGAGGCCAGGGAGCUGGAUGGAGGAAGUAGUCAAGUUGCUGAGAAUAUGCAUCCAAGCUCAGGGAAUUCAACUUUUGCAAGAAAAUUUGGACGUGAGGAUAGCAGUGCAGUGGCGGAUCAGAGGGUCUUGAAGGAGAAUGUUCUUAAGGGUUCUCUUGAAGAUAAAGAUGCUAAUAUUGAGCCAGAUGGUAUCUUGAUAAGGCAUAGCAAUAGGAGGCAGCAUGGAAUUGAGGCUACUGACAAAGGAGAAAGUGGUAAGAUGAUGGGUAUUGGAAGGAAUACUAGCAGCAAUAGAAGGUUCAAGGGAGGGAGAAUUUCCUUGCGACCAACCACAGAUUUAUAUUCUGAAGAUGAUAGCUACCGAAUGAGAGAUUCAAAGUACCAGAGGUAAUGGUGUUCAGAGAAGUAUAUAACUGAAGAAAGCCUGAUAGUUGAUUUCUUGUUUUGAGAAGCUGAAUCCUGAAUUUUGUAGCAGAAAGUGAAGUCCUUUAUGGGGAACUUAGAAAGGAUAUUAUUAUGAAGCAAUGACUUUUGCUUCCCCUCCUUUGGAGUACAGAUUGAAUCAAGAGCAUUUCAUGGGACUAAGGAAAAUUUUGUGGCUGACCAGUGCCCAUAGCGUAUUUCUUUCCUCCUCAUUCUGGUUGCAAACUUUUCAGAAGAAUUGGUCUUUUAGUAGCUGGGAGAAUGCACACUAAAUACAAUUUCUUUGUAUUAGAAUAUGUAUUUCUUCUUACUUAGUUCAAUAUCUUUAUGCAAUCGCAUGCUGUUUUUUUGUUUA